GUCGUAGACCCGAAACCAGGUGAUCUACCCUUGGUCAGGUUGAAGUUCAGGUAACACUGAAUGGAGGACCGAACCGACUUACGUUGAAAAGUGAGCGGAUGAACUGAGGGUAGCGGAGAAAUUCCAAUCGAACCUGGAGAUAGCUGGUUCUCUCCGAAAUAGCUUUAGGGCUAGCCUCAAGUGAUGAUUAUUGGAGGUAGAGCACUGUUUGGACGAGGGGCCCCUCUCGGGUUACCGAAUUCAGACAAACUCCGAAUGCCAAUUAAUUUAACUUGGGAGUCAGAACAUGGGUGAUAAGGUCCGUGUUCGAAAGGGAAACAGCCCAGACCACCAGCUAAGGUCCCAAAAUAUAUGUUAAGUGGAAAAGGAUGUGGCGUUGCCCAGACAACUAGGAUGUUGGCUUAGAAGCAGCCAUCAUUUAAAG
rnacentral:rRNA from 1 species